rnacentral:ncRNA from 2 species
AAGUCAUCCCCGGGGAGCCAGCAAGUCUUGGCUGAGAGGUGGGUGUUGCGGCCCACGACCCGUUGAACCUGAACCGAUUAGCAUCGGCGGAGGGAGUGGGCGGCUGAUUGCCA